UGCGCUGCCGUGAAAGCACCUAGCUCUGCCCUGGCAUGGUGCGACAGAAUCGCUCCUUCGAUUCUGUCGCAGGUGGCGGCUGCCGAAGGCGUCUUUGUCCGGUUCCCAGCCAGCCGCUACAUGUACCCGCUCGGCUACCUGCUGCCAGCGUCACGGCCGCCGAGUUUUUCGACCCUUUUACUCGCGUCUAGGAUGGGCAGUAUAGCAACGCACAGGCCGCCCUGCAUUCCUACGUGCGGCUGUACGUCUGAGGACUAAACCGAAAAGAGUUGACAUCUGCUCUGAGGGACUUUCAUGCCGGGGCGAUCCUGCCACUGCCUGCAAUCGAUGCAUCACCGAGGCGCCGCAGACUCGCGGCGUUGGCCAGGCACAGAUGAAGCCCACCAACAAGUCAAGCCGUUGCAGGGACGCUGCCCGCUGCUUCUGGAACGGCGCUUGCCUGCGUUGUCCCAUCUAUGAGCUCGUAUGCUCGUGCUUCGCCACGGGCCCGCGAGCUCAAGGUUCAACUCAUUCUAGAGGCGUUGCCGUUGCAGGUUGGACAGAACGUUUUUGGCGUGCAGUGUAAGGUGGUCUCGAACACCUCUGGCAAACUUCUGCGUGGUGUAUGCAUCUCUCUAGCUCCGGUGCUGCGGUUUGAGAUAGACGAGGCGUGGAGGACGACGCGCGACGUUCUCUUUGAGGGGAACCUUAUUCAUACGGUCGCCUCCGGGAUUCCGGGUACGAUAUCAGGGCGCACACAGGUGCUGGCGGUACGCGACAACCCGGUGGCCGCUAUGAGGUCAUCUGGUCUCGAAGUGCGCGCCGUGACUCGUGCGGAGCCGGGGGCUGCUUAUGUGGGGCGGGCCUUUAGCGAGUUCGAGGAGGUGGAGCUGAUUGGGCGAGUGCUGGUGGGCUCGGCGCCUCCUGUAGGGGAGCUGACCUUAGCUGCACUUCCGUGCGGUCGAACUAACAAGCGAGAUAUGCACCAUGCCAUGCGAGCGACUUCGUUGGAGCCACCCGCGAUGGCGGCCCUCGACGCACCGCUCUCGUGCCACGGCUUCCGCACUGCGUUGCGGCGAGCAUCUCAGACGCGUUGCAGUGAACCGGCCUCGUAGGGGCUCUAGCGGUACAUCGAAUGCGAUUCUGCUGCCGGCUCUAUCCGUGUAGCGGAAGAAUCGACUCUUUCCGCGUGCACGGCUCAGGGGGUGUUCGCACGCUGUGAUGUGAGGACACAGGCACCUUGUAGGCGUUCUUAUUGUUUUGUUUUUGUUGUGAAUGCUUGCCCACCUUCUCUUUCCGGCGUUGUUCGUUACCCGCUACGCCGCGUGAGUGCCAUUUGUGGGCAUGUGCGAGCGGCCUAUCACCGUCACUGCGAAAGCGAAGAGAGAGGUGCGAGAUGUCUGCAUCACGGAUCACUGGACUUCGACAAAAAAAA
rnacentral:misc_RNA from 1 species